CAACAAUUUCUAACGUAAACGUAUUAUCGGUGGCGCGGUGUGUAUGCGUAAGUUUUCCACAUUAGUUCUUUCAAUAUUUUGGAGUUUGUAUAGCUGCUACUGCUGGCAUCACCCUCUUCUCGGAAUUGAAUUUUUAACAUUGCAAUAAACUUUAUUACUGGCGGUUCAAGGAAGUUUUGUAAGCAAUGGUUGAUGGUGAGGAUAUUGAAAGUUCCAUGGACAAACAAUUCAACGAUAAUGACGGAGGUAAACCGGAUAAAAUGUUUACGUUGAAGAAGUGGAAUGCUGUGGCUAUGUGGAGCUGGGAUGUUGAGUGCGACACUUGCGCUAUUUGCAGAGUUCAAGUAAUGGCUGAGUGACUACCUUUUCUACUGUUAUUUUAUGUUAUACAAAGCUCCGUAAAGAGUUUUUAAUACAUUAUCCGGAAUCAGUUCAAAGAAUUGUGUUAAUAGUAAAUUGUACAUUGUGCCUUGCUGUUAAGAAGAGCUCCACUUGAAUUAUCUACUAGAAUAUUUUGCAAAGAACGUAUAAUAUUUUAUUUUAGACGUUUUCUAUACUUGUUGAGUUUCUGGAAACUCUUUAAAAUUUAUACUCUGUUUCAGAUAGUACCUUUCUUUAAUUAGUAUAAUAUUAUUCGAAUUUUGUACAACUAGGUACCGUAUAUUAUUAUUCUUUAUUUUAAACGGUGUAAUUGUUUUUCAAUAACGGAGAGUAACUUCGGUGUGUAUUUUUCACUUAAUUGAAUUCAGUAUAUGUACAUAUGAAUAUUCUCUUAACUAUUUAAUUUCCUCAAGGCUGCAACAUAAACCUUUAAACUGCAGAAGGUCACUUAACUGGUGUGUAUACCGAUUACUUUGGCGGAGGGGUAAAAAACCGAAUUUCCGUAUAAAUGGGGUAUGUGCGGAUAGGGGAGCUUCUCCAGAGAAGAAAUAGCCAAAAAUAAUAUAAAAAUAACUUUUAUUUUUUAAAAUAUUCACGAUUAAAAGUUCAAAAAUUUGCACUAAUAACACAUGGUAUUUCUCUAUGUUUCACUAAAUUUUUUCACGUUUUUCACUCUGUAUAUUUAAAUAUACACUCUAAACAUUGAAAUAAGUUCACAUUUCACUUUUAUUUUGGUAUAUUUUACCUAAAUUUAUUAAUUUAAAAAUCACUUAGUGCACUCAUCGUUGAAAAGGUUAGAUUGUUUACAAUUAUGAGGAAAACAAGCCUUGCCACAUCUUAAAUAGCAAAUAUGUAGGAUUUUUAACAAUUUUUCUUUGUUUGCUUUUUCACGUAAUUCUUUUUUCUAUAUUAACUAUAAAAAAAUUCUUUCUACAUAUGCACAUAUACGUAUGUGUAAUAUGUGAUUUAUGUGACUGAAGUACUUUCUGCAUUGGCGGCCUUCGGCCACGCUUUAAAAAAAAUAACCCUGGUCGAGCGAAUACCCUGGGUGACUGAAGUACUUUCGCAUAGUACUCCUUUCUGCGUUGGCGGCCUUCGGCCGCGCUUUAAAAAAAUAACCCUGGUCGAGCGAAUA